AAAGCAGGGGAUCGCAAGACCUUGCGCUUUUGGAGUGGCCGAUGCCUGAUUAGCUAGUUGGUGGGGUAAUGGCCUACCAAGGCGACGAUCAGUAGUUGGUCUGAGAGGACGACCAGCCACACUGGGACUGAGACACGGCCCAGACUCCUACGGGAGGCAGCAGUGGGGAAUUUUGGACAAUGGGCGAAAGCCUGAUCCAGCAAUGCCGCGUGAGUGAAGAAGGCCUUCGGGUUGUAAAGCUCUUUCAGUCGAGAAGAAAAGGUUGUGACUAAUAAUCACAACUCAUGACGAUAUCGACAGAAGAAGCACCGGCUAACUACGUGCCAGCAGCCGCGGUAAUACGUAGGGUGCGAGCGUUAAUCGGAAUUACUGGGCGUAAAGGGUGCGCAGGCGGCUUUGUAAGUCAGAUGUGAAAUCCCCGGGCUUAACCUGGGAAUUGCGUUUGAAACUACAAAGCUAGA
rnacentral:rRNA from 1 species